rnacentral:lncRNA from 1 species
AACUCGGGAGCGCAAUUGGAGUUUAUGACUCGACUCCAUCUCUCUCCAUAUCGGAGAAGCGAUAACAAAUACAUUAUGGAUCUCAGUCAAUCAGUCUAGUUCCUCAUCCUUAUUUUUAGCUUUAUUCCUCUUUGUUGUUGUUGUUGUUGUUAUUAUUAAUAUUUUAUUUUAUUUUUAUGACAACAAUAAGGUUGCAUAUUUUAGGAUUUAUCUUUUAAAAUUUUCAAAAAAAGUGAGUGAACCUUUCUAAAAAACUUUUUCAAUAAUUAACAUGUUUUGUUUUAAUAAGACGAUUAUAUUUUUAAUACCUUAUUUAUAUCUUUCUUAACGAAGCUUUUACUUUUUUUUAUCUAAUCUAAGUUUGGCCGGUUAACUGUAGUUAGCGGAUCCUUUAGGAUGCCUAAUCCCUUCCCUUUAGGAUAAUUAGAAUCCUUACUUAGAAUUUUAGGUUUUUGCAGACCUUAAAAUGAAGUCUUUAAUUGCUUUAAUCACAUAGUUUAUAACAGGUGUCCUAAUUCACCGUAGAACUAAUUAGGUGGCGACUUCCUUAUUUAACUCAGAAGUUUUCCAAUAUGUUGUACACUAUUUUGACCUCGUGUUAAAAUGGGGUAUAACAAUAUGUUUUUGCACCUAAGCAAUAGCAAUCAAUCUCUAUUCCAAAUUAACACAAUUUUUUCAGGCUAAUUUCUAAAUACCUUUAAAAGUUGUUUUUUUUUUUUUUUAAAUAACAAAAUCAAAAAUAAAUUCAAAUCUAAAAGCCAGAUUUAGUAAUUAAUUAUCACUUCAUAAAAUCCAUUUGAAUUAGUCAUGCUAGAUCUUAGUGUUCAUUAUGAUACAAAUAUACCACAUCAACUCCUUAAGUACCGGCGAUGAAAUUUCAUUGAUACAGAGCCAAUUUCAAUAGAAGUAUUGAGAAAAUCAUAAUGUACUUUGAUGAUCGAUACAAAAAAGUUAUAUACUGAUAGUAUAAAGAAUUUUUACAUUAUCAGUGUAACUCGAUGACCUGUGUAUAAGAAAUCUACAAACAUUCAUACUGACAAAACACUACAUAAAGACCAGAUAAAACACUCAAGAAAUGGAAGUGUUUAGUAUCUUUCUCUAUCACUGUUUGAUUUAUCACUUGCAAUACGAUCAACAUGACUUCUAAUAGUUUGCAAUGCAGGUGGUGAUUUGCUAGUGUCUUCUGCAUUUUCCUCCUUAUGAUCAUCGUCGUGUUUCUUGAUAUUCAAUAUAAACUCUAACGCGUUCACUACUUCGCUGAUUAGAGGUCGCAUUCUGGAGUCCUCUUGCAGGCACAUUGCUGCAACUGUUAGAGCUUUAUGCAAUGCCUUCAUCGGGUAAUUCCCUUGUAGCAAUGGAUCUGCUAUUAAGUGUGACUUCCUCUUGUCAAGGAUCAGCGGCCGUGCCUGGCCAUCGAGUUGUGAAAUAAAGUUAGGUAGGCUGCUGUUUGAAACAGACUAGGAAGGAAAACGUGUCAUAUAAAAUGAAACCGAUGAGUUCUUGAAACUUACCCACUUGACAAGGUUCUUUUCUUCGCUAGGUCUGGAGCUGUCGAUGACUCUUCUUCCGGUGACUAUUUCUAAAAGGACUACCCCGAAGCUAUAAACAUCGGACUUAACAGUCAGUUUACCUGUGCAAGCAUAGUCAGGUGCACAAUAACCAUAGGUUCCCAUAACCCGGGUGGAUAC